ACGAACGCUGGCGGCGUGCUUAACACAUGCACGUCGAACGGAAAGGCCCUGCUUUUGUGGGGUGCUCGAGUGGCGAACGGGUGAGUAACACGUGAGUAACCUGCCCUUGACUUUGGGAUAACUUCAGGAAACUGGGGCUAAUACCGGAUAGGAGCUCCUGCUGCAUGGUGGGGGUUGGAAAGUUUCGGCGGUUGGGGAUGGACUCGCGGCUUAUCAGCUUGUUGGUGGGGUAGUGGCUUACCAAGGCUUUGACGGGUAGCCGGCCUGAGAGGGUGACCGGCCACAUUGGGACUGAGAUACGGCCCAGACUCCUACGGGAGGCAGCAGUGGGGAAUAUUGCACAAUGGCGGAAGCCUGAUGCAGCAACGCCGCGUGCGGGAUGAUGGCCUUCGGGUUGUAAACCGCUUUCGCCUGUGACGAAGCGUGAGUGACGGUAAUGGGUAAAGAAGCACCGGCUAACUACGUG
rnacentral:rRNA from 1 species